GGUUAUCUACUUGAAAAAUAUGAUAACCCAAUAUUGGCCUGACCGGGAAACUGCACCAGGAGAGAUUCCACCUUACUCCAUCCCAGAAGAAGACAGACACUGUAUUCGUGAAAAUAUCGUAGAAGCCAUUAUUCACUCUCCUGAGUUGAUUAGAGUACAACUUACUACUUGCAUUCACCAUAUUAUCAAGCAUGAUUACCCUAGUCGUUGGACUGCAGUUGUGGAGAAAAUUGGUUUUUAUCUUCAGUCUGACAACAGUGCUUGUUGGCUUGGAAUUCUUCUCUGUCUUUAUCAACUUGUGAAGAACUA